rnacentral:tRNA from 1 species
GGCAUGCUGGUGCAGUGGGUAGCACUGUUGUAUUACAGCAAGAAGGUCCCAGGUUUGAAUCCUGGCCGGGGCC